UACGUAGGCAGCGAGCGUUGUUCGGAGUUACUGGGCGUAAAGCGUGCGUAGGCGGUUGUCUAAGGCUGGUGUGAAAUCUCCCGGCUCAACUGGGAGGGUGCGCCGGAAACUGGAUGACUGGAGUGCCGGAGAGGUAAGCGGAAUUCCUGGUGUAGCGGUGAAAUGCGUAGAGAUCAGGAGGAACACCUGUGGUGUAGACAGCUUACUGGACGGUGACUGACGCUGAGGCACGAAGGCGUGGGUAGCAAACAGG
rnacentral:rRNA from 1 species